GUGAAUCAUCGAAUUUUUGAACGCAAAUUGCACUCCCUGGUAUUCCAGAGAGUAUGCCUGUUUGAGGGCCAGUUUAAAUAUCAAUCGGUGUGGUUGCUUCCUCUUGUGGUGACGCAUCGGAUUUGGGCUGUCUUGCCUUCGGUUAAGUGCCAUAAAAUUUUGCAUGAAUUUUUCGAACGUAUUUCACUGAUUUUACGUACGUUUGACAUAUCGAAUCCUAGGUGCGGUUAUCCUCAUGAUUUGCGCU
rnacentral:misc_RNA from 1 species